AGUUAAGUGACUAAGCGUACAAGGUGGAUGCCUUGGCAAUCAGAGGCGAUGAAGGACGUGCUAAUCUGCGAAAAGCUUGGAUGAGUCGAUAAGAGGCGUUUAAUCCAAGAUGUCCGAAUGGGGAAACCCAGUAGAUGAAGAAUCUACUAUCAACAAGUGAAUACAUAGCUUGUUGAGGCAAACCGGGAGAACUGAAACAUCUAAGUACCCCGAGGAAAAGAAAUCAACCGAGAUUUCGUUAGUAGCGGCGAGCGAACGCGAAGGAGCCUGUUAGUGAUAGCGACAGAGACAGAGGAACAAGCUGGGAAGCUUGGCGAUACCGGGUGAUAGCCCCGUACUCGAAGUCCAGGUCGUGGUACUAAGCUAACGAUAAGUAGGGCGGGACACGUGAUAUCCUGUUUGAAGAUGGGGGGACCAUCCUCCAAGGCUAAAUACUCCUGAUUGACCGAUAGUGAACCAGUACUGUGAAGGAAAGGCGAAAAGAACCCCGGUGAGGGGAGUGAAAUAGAACCUGAAACCUUGUACGUACAAGCAGUGGGAGCCCUUUAAGGGUGACUGCGUACCUUUUGUAUAAUGGGUCAGCGACUUAUAUUUUGUAGCGAGGUUAACCGAAUAGGGGAGCCGAAGGGAAACCGAGUCUUAACUGGGCGAAUAGUUGCAAGGUAUAGACCCGAAACCCGGUGAUCUAGCCAUGGGCAGGUUGAAGGUUGGGUAACACUAACUGGAGGACCGAACCGACUAAUGUUGAAAAAUUAGCGGAUGACUUGUGGCUGGGGGUGAAAGGCCAAUCAAACCGGGAGAUAGCUGGUUCUCCCCGAAAUCUAUUUAGGUAGAGCCUUGAGCGGACACCUUCGGGGGUAGAGCACUGUUUCGGCUAGGGGUCCAUCCCGGAUUACCAACCCGAUGCAAACUACGAAUACCGAAGAGUGAUACUCAGGAGACACACGGCGGGUGCUAACGUCCGUCGUGGAGAGGGAAACAACCCAGACCGCCAGCUAAGGUCCCAAAGUCUAUAUUAAGUGGGAAACGAAGUGGGAAGGCUUAGACAGCUAGGAUGUUGGCUUAGAAGCAGCCAUCAUUUAAGAAAGCGUAAUAGCUCACUAGUCGAGUCGGCCUGCGCGGAAGAUGUAACGGGGCUCAAAUAUAGCACCGAAGCUGCGGCAUCAGUGGCAACACUGUUGGGUAGGGGAGCGUUCUGUAAGCGGAUGAAGGUAGCUCGAGAGGGCUGCUGGACGUAUCAGAAGUGCGAAUGCUGACAUAAGUAACGAUAAAACGGGUGAAAAACCCGUUCGCCGGAAGACCAAGGGUUCCUGUCCAACGUUAAUCGGGGCAGGGUGAGUCGGCCCCUAAGGCGAGGCUGAAAAGCGUAGUCGAUGGGAAACGGGUUAAUAUUCCCGUACUUGGAUAAACUGCGAUGUGGGGACGGAGCAGGUUAGGUUAGCGCACUGUUGGAUAUGUGCGUUUAAGUUGGUAGGUGAGAAGUUUAGGCAAAUCCGGACUUCUUUAACACUGAGAGAUGAUGACGAGGCUCUACGGAGCUGAAGUAACCGAUACCACACUUCCAGGAAAAGC
rnacentral:ncRNA from 1 species